UGGGGGAAUAUUGGGCAAUGGGCGCAAGCCUGACCCAGCAACGCCGCGUGAAGGAAGAAGGCUUUCGGGUUGUAAACUUCUUUUAUAAGGGACGAUAAUGACGGUACCUUAUGAAUAAGCUCCGGCUAACUACGUGCCAGCAGCCGCGGUAAUACGUAGGGAGCAAGCGUUAUCCGGAUUUACUGGGUGUAAAGGGCGUGUAGGCGGGAAAGCAAGUCAGAUGUGAAAACUAUGGGCUCAACCCAUAGCCUGCAUUUGAAACUGUGGAUCUUGAGUGUCGGAGGGGCAAUCGGAAUUCCUAGUGUAGCGGUGAAAUGCGUAGAUAUUAGGGGGAACACCAGUGGCGAAGGCGGAUUGCUGGACGAUAACUGACGGUGAGGCGCGAAAGUGUGGGGAGCAAACAGGAUUAGAUACCCUGGUAGU
rnacentral:rRNA from 1 species